UACGGAGGGGGCUAGCGUUGUUCGGAUUUACUGGGCGUAAAGGGCGCGUAGGCGGUCGUGACAAGUCACUUGUGAAAUCUCCGGGCUUAACUCGGAAAGGUCAAGUGAUACUGUCGGACUAGAGUACAGAAGGGGCAACUGGAAUUCUCGGUGUAGCGGUGAAAUGCGUAGAUAUCGAGAGGAACACCUGCGGCGAAGGCGGGAUUGCUGGGCUGAUACUGACGCUGAGGCGCGAAAGCUAGGGGAGCGAACGGG
rnacentral:rRNA from 1 species